rnacentral:tRNA from 1 species
GCGAGAGUAGUUUAACGGUAGAAUUUCUGCCUUCCAAGCAGACGGUUCGGGUUCGAUUCCCGGGUCUCGCUCCA